AAUCCUGGGCUCAGGGACGAAACGCCUGGGCGGGCGGUGGCUUUAAACCACAAUGCAAAGUCGAAACGAUGAUGCCCAGCUUUGCUGGGGUGGGAUUAGUGGCCGAAACGGGUGAGUAAACACGUGAGUAACCUGCCCUUGACUUCGGGAUAACUCCGGGAAACCGGGGCUAAUACCGGAUAUGAGCUACCUUCGCAUGGGGGUGGUUGGAAAGUUUUUCGGUCAGGGAUGGGCUCGCGGCCUAUCAGCUUGUUGGUGGGGUGAUGGCCUACCAAGGCGACGACGGGUAGCCGGCCUGAGAGGGCGACCGGCCACACUGGGACUGAGACACGGCCCAGACUCCUACGGGAGGCAGCAGUGGGGAAUAUUGCACAAUGGGCGAAAGCCUGAUGCAGCGACGCCGCGUGAGGGAUGAAGGCCUUCGGGUUGUAAACCUCUUUCAGCAGGGAAGAAGCGCAAGUGACGGUACCUGCAGAAGAAGCGCCGGCUAACUACGUGCCAGCAGCCGCGGUAAUACGUAGGGCGCAAGCGUUGUCCGGAAUUAUUGGGCGUAAAGAGCUCGUAGGCGGUUUGUCGCGUCUGGUAGUGAAACUCGAGGCUCAACCUCGAGCUUGCAUCGGGUACGGGCAGACUAGAGUGCGGUAGGGGAGACUGGAAUUCCUGGUGUAGCGGUGGAAUGCGCAGAUAUCAGGAGGAACACCGAUGGCGAAGGCAGGUCUCUGGGCCGCAACUGACGCUGAGGAGCGAAAGCAUGGGGAGCGAACAGGAUUAGAUACCCUGGUAGUCCAUGCCGUAAACGUUGGGCACUAGGUGUGGGGCUCAUUCCACGAGUUCCGUGCCGCAGCAAACGCAUUAAGUGCCCCGCCUGGGGAGUACGGCCGCAAGGCUAAAACUCAAAGGAAUUGACGGGGGCCCGCACAAGCGGCGGAGCAUGCGGAUUAAUUCGAUGCAACGCGAAGAACCUUACCAAGGCUUGACAUGCACGGGAAGCCCCCAGAGAUGGUGGUCUCUUUGGACACCUCGUGCACAGGGUGGGGCAUGGUUGUCGUCAGCCUCGUGGUCGUGAAGAUGGUUGGGUUAAGUCCCGCAAACGAAGGGGCAACCCCUCGUCCCCAUGUUUGCCAAGCGGGGUUAAUGCCCGGGGACCUCCAUGGGGAGAACCUGCCGGGGGUUCAACUCUCGGGAGAGAAAGGGUGGGGGAU
rnacentral:rRNA from 1 species